UCUCAGCUGAGAGGAGGACGCUCCGCCUAGGCCUCUCCAUUGGGACUCCAGCCUGGCUGUCUCCACGGGGUUUUCCCAGCUAGUGAGGCUGGAUGUUAGUACAGCUGCUGUGAAUCUUUUCUUAAGAACAGACGCGAGAUCUACUGGACCUGUGGCCACCCAAGACAAGCCUCAGAGAGCGAGCAGGAACACAAGCAGGAGG